GAUGAACGCUGGCAGCGUGCCUAAUACAUGCAAGUCGAGCGAACGGACGAGAAGCCUGCUUCUCUGAUGUUAGCGGCGGACGGGUGAGUAACACGUGGAUAACCUACCUAUAAGACUGGGAUAACUUCGGGAAACCGGAGCUAAUACCGGAUGAUAUUUUGAACCGCAUGGUUCAAAAGUGAAAGACGGUCUUGCUGUCACUUAUAGAUGGAUCCGCGCUGCAUUAGCUAGUUGGUAAGGUAACGGCUUACCAAGGCAACGAUGCAUAGCCGACCUGAGAGGGUGAUCGGCCACACUGGAACUGAGACACGGUCCAGACUCCUACGGGAGGCAGCAGUAGGGAAUCUUCCGCAAUGGGCGAAAGCCUGACGGAGCAACGCCGCGUGAGUGAUGAAGGUCUUCGGAUCGUAAAACUCUGUUAUUAGGGAAGAACAUAUGUGUAAGUAACUGUGCACAUCUUGACGGUACCUAAUCAGAAAGCCACGGCUAACUACGUG
rnacentral:rRNA from 1 species